rnacentral:rRNA from 1 species
AUUGAACGCUGGCGGCAUGCCUUACACAUGCAAGUCGAACGGUAGAAGGAGCAAUCCUUCGAGAGUGGCGAACGGGUGAGUAAUACAUCGGAACGUACCUGGUAGUGGGGGAUAGCCCGGCGAAAAGCCGGAUUAAUACCGCAUAAGACCUGAGGGUGAAAGCGGGGGACCGUAAGGCCUCGCGCUACCGGAGCGGCCGAUGUCAGAUUAGCUAGUUGGUGGGGUAAAAGCCUACCAAGGCGACGAUCUGUAGCUGGUUUGAGAGAACGAUCAGCCACACUGGGACUGAGACACGGCCCAGACUCCUACGGGAGGCAGCAGUGGGGAAUCUUGCGCAAUGGGCGAAAGCCUGACGCAGCAACGCCGCGUGCGGGAUGACGGCCUCGUGGUUGUAACGCUUCAGCAGGACGAAAUAGACGGUACCUGCAGAAGAAGACCCGGCGUAACUAACCGUGCCAGCAGCCGC